GCCAAUACCAUGCUGAAUAUACCGGUUCUCGUUAGAUCACCGAAGUCAAGCAUCAUUGGGCGCGGUCAGUACUUGGGUGGGUGACAACCUGCGAACACCGCGUGCCGUU
rnacentral:rRNA from 1 species